rnacentral:rRNA from 1 species
UACGGCUCAGUAACACGUCAAUAAUCUGCCCUUAGGUCAGGGAUAAUUUCAGGAAACUGAAGCUAAAACCUGAUAGGAGAAUUCUACUGGAAGGUGAUUUCUCUUAAAAGUAAUGCCUAAGGAUAAGUCGGCGGUCGAUUAGGUUGUUGGUGAGGUAAAGGCUCACCAAGCCUAUGAUCGGUACGGGCCUUGAGAGAGGUAACCCGGAGAAGGGCACUGAGAUACUGGCCCUAGCCCUACGGGGUGCAGCAGGCGCGAAACCUUUACAAUGCACGAAAGUGUGAUAAGGGAAUCCCAAGUGCUUUGCUUUUAGUAAGGCUUUUGCCAUAUGUAAAAAGUAUGGCGAAUAAGUGGUGGGUAAGACUUGUGCCAGCCGCCGCGGUAACACCAGCGCCACAAGUGGCAACCGAUUUUAUUGGGCCUAAAGCGUUCGUAGCCGGUUCAGUAAAUUUUCUGUGAAAUCGUUGCACUCAAUGUAACGGCAUGCAGGAAAGACUACUGGACUAGGGACCGGGAGGCGUUAGAGGUAUUCUUGAGGGAGCGGUAAAAUGCUAUAAUCUCAGGAGGACCUCCAGUGGCGAAGGCGUCUAACGAGAACGGAUCCGACGGUGAGGAACGAAAGCCAGGGGAGCGAACCGGAUUAGAUACCCGAGUAGUCCUGGCCGUAAACUCUGCGAGCUAGGUGUUACGUAUUCUUCGGGAAUACGUAGUGUCGAAGCGAAGGUGUUAAGCUCGCCGCCUGGGAAGUAUGGUUGCAAGACUGAAACUUAAAGGAAUUGGCGGA